rnacentral:snoRNA from 1 species
UGGAAGUGAUGAAAUAGAGAUAAUUGGGUGUCUCUGUGAAUGGAGUGUGUGAGAGAGAUGGAAUUGAAGCCAAGGCAGGCUGGGGGUGGGGAAUGCGUGUGUGUGGAUGUGUGGAAAAGGCUUUAAAUGGGGGCACUGAUUGCAGUGCUGAUUCCGGAGUGCAUCUGAGGCGUGUUGUGCACUUCUGGGGCCUCUCUGCAACACUGCCAAUGAUUAAAGCCCAAAACAAGCCCACCAGGAGAAGCCAAGGCAUCCCAAAUCUCUGGCAGGGUCACUAGUGAUCCUGUGAUCUGAUCUCA